CAACGGGGAUUGCCUCAGUAACGGCGAGUGAAGCGGCAACAGCUCAAAUUUGAAAUCUGGCCCUUUCGGGGUCCGAGUUGUAAUUUGUAGAGGGUGUUGCGGGCGCGGCUCCGGUCUAAGUCCCUUGGAACAGGGCGUCAUAGAGGGUGAGAAUCCCGUAUGUGACCGGCGGUCAACCCCAUACGCAACCCCUUCGACGAGUCGAGUUGUUUGGGAAUGCAGCUCAAAAUGGGUGGUAAAUUUCAUCUAAAGCUAAAUACCGGCCAGAGACCGAUAGCGCACAAGUAGAGUGAUCGAAAGAUGAAAAGCACUUUGGAAAGAGAGUCAAAAAGUACGUGAAAUUGUUGAAAGGGAAGCGCUUGCAACCAGACCUGUUCGCGGGCGCUCAACCCCUGUGUCUCAGGGGCGCACUCGUCCGCGACCAGGCCAGCAUCGGUUCGGGCGGCGGGAUAAAUGCCUCGGGAAUGUAGCUCCUUUCGGGGAGUGUUAUAGCCCGUGGUGCAAUGCCGCCUGCCCGGACCGAGGACCGCGCUUCGGCUAGGAUGCUGGCGUAAUGGUUGUAAGCGACCCGUCUUGAAACACGGACCAAGGAGUAGAAUAUCUAUGCGAGUGUUUGGGCGUCAAACCCAUACGCGCAAUGAAAGUGAACGGAGGUGAGAACCCUUAAGGGCGCAUCAUCGACCGAUCCAGAUGUCAUCGGAUGGAUUUGAGUACGAGCAUAGCUAUUCUGACCCGAAAGAUGGUGAACUAUACGUGAAUAGGGUGAAGCCAGAGGAAACUCUGGUGGAGGCUCGCAGCGGUUCUGACGUGCAAAUCGAUCGUCAAAUUUGCGUAUAGGGGCGAAAGACUAAUCGAAC
rnacentral:rRNA from 1 species